rnacentral:tRNA from 1 species
AUUUAAAUAGUUUAAUAAAAAUAACAAUUUGUGGGAUUGUAGAUGUAAUUAUUUACUUUAAGUA